GGGGCUGAUCGGUUUCGACGGUGACCUGUUCGUCGCAGGGAAGCGUGCCGAGAACGCGGAGUCCACUCGCUGACGUCCUCCGCAAAACAACAAGUGCUAAAUCUAACCGCACUGAGUUCGCUCUCGCUGCCUGAUUUCUGAUCAGGAUUAACCAGUGAGCAGCGGCUCCGUUCACUCCCUCCCGUCUUCGGGGGAUGCUGAGCGUCAUUUAGAAGACUUGCUUCAGUCGUUGACCUUCGGGGCGACUGAGGGACUUUAACCGCGGGUAUGCUCGCCAUCGGUCGUCCGCGACACAGAUGGGGGCAGAAAAACCGCCACAAGGCCAGCGGACUACGCACGUAGAAGACUGAGGGUACGGUCAUCGGACCCGGGUUCAAUUCCCGGCAGCUCCACAG
rnacentral:tmRNA from 1 species